UCCCCUGAGGCGCAAUUGGCUAGCGCGUUCGACUGUUACCAUGCAUAUUAGGUAUCGAGAGGUUGAUCGUUCGAACGUAUCCAGAGGAG